rnacentral:rRNA from 1 species
GAUGAACGCUAGCUACAGGCUUAACACAUGCAAGUCGCGGGGCAGCAUGGGGGUUGCUUGCAAUCCCCGAUGGCGACCGGCGCACGGGUGAGUAACGCGUAUCCAACCUGCCCUUCACCACGGGAUAACCCGGCGAAAGUCGGACUAAUACCGUAUGUUGUCCAUUGACGGCAUCCGAUUUGGACGAAAGGUUUGGCGGUGAAGGAUGGGGAUGCGUCCGAUUAGCUGGACGGCGGGGUGACGGCCCACCGUGGCGACGAUCGGUAGGGGUUCUGAGAGGAAGGUCCCCCACACUGGAACUGAGACACGGUCCAGACUCCUACGGGAGGCAGCAGUGAGGAAUAUUGGUCAAUGGGCGUAAGCCUGAACCAGCCAAGUAGCAUGCAGGAUGACGGCCCUAUGGGUUGUAAACUGCUUUUAUGCGGGGAUAAAGUGGCCCACGUGUGGGUUUUUGCAGGUACCGCAUGAAUAAGGACCGGCUAAUUCCGUG